ensembl:snRNA U6 U6 spliceosomal RNA
GGGCUCACCUCAGCAGCACAUAUGCUAAUAUUGACAUGCUACCAAGAAGAUUAGCAUGGUCUCAGCAUAAGGAUAACUGCAAAUUCAUGGAACGUGUCUUAUUUUU